rnacentral:rRNA from 1 species
GAUGAACGCUAGCUACAGGCUUAACACAUGCAAGUCGAGGGGCAGCAUAAUCGAAGCUUGCUUUGAUUGAUGGCGACCGGCGCACGGGUGAGUAACGCGUAUCCAACCUUCCCCAUAGUAGGGCAUAGCCCGUAGAAAUGCGGAUUAAUACCCUAUGUUUUCCUUUGCAGGCAUCUAACGAGGAAUAAAGGUUUACCGCUAUGGGAUGGGGAUGCGUCUGAUUAGGUUGCAGGCGGGGUAACGGCCCACCUGGCCUACGAUCAGUAGGGGUUCUGAGAGGAAGGUCCCCCACACUGGUACUGAGACACGGACCAGACUCC